UUACGGCCACAUCACGUAGAUAUACAGGUUUCCGUACGAUCACCGAAGUUAAGCAACGUCGAACCUGGUCAGUACCUAGAUGGGUGACAGCUUAAGAAUACCAGGUGCUGUAA